rnacentral:rRNA from 1 species
GGUGACCUGCGGAGGGACAUUACACAAAUAUGAAGGCGGGCUGGAACCUCUCGGGGUUACAGCCUUGCUGAAUUAUUCACCCUUGUCUUUUGCGUACUUCUUGUUUCCUUGGUGGGUUCGCCCACCACUAGGACAAACAUAAACCUUUUGUAAUUGCAAUCAGCGUCAGUAACAAAUUAAUAAUUACAACUUUCAACAACGGAUCUCUUGGUUCUGGCAUCGAUGAAGAACGCAGCGAAAUGCGAUAAGUAGUGUGAAUUGCAGAAUUCAGUGAAUCAUCGAAUCUUUGAACGCACAUUGCGCCCUUUGGUAUUCCAAAGGGCAUGCCUGUUCGAGCGUCAUUUGUACCCUCAAGCUUUGCUUGGUGUUGGGCGUCUUGUCUCUAGCUUUGCUGGAGACUCGCCUUAAAGUAAUUGGCAGCCGGCCUACUGGUUUCGGAGCGCAGCACAAGUCGCACUCUCUAUCAGCAAAGGUCUAGCAUCCAUUAAGCCUUUUUUUCAACUUUUGACCUCGGAUCAGGUAGGGAUACCCGCUGAACUUAAGCAUAUCAAUAAGCGGAGGAAAAGAAACCAACAGGGAUUGCCCUAGUAACGGCGAGUGAAGCGGCAACAGCUCAAAUUUGAAAUCUGGCUCUUUUAGAGUCCGAGUUGUAAUUUGCAGAGGGCGCUUUGGCUUUGGCAGCGGUCCAAGUUCCUUGGAACA